AGAGUUUGAUCCUGGCUCAGGAUGAACGCUAGCGGCAGGCUUAAUACAUGCAAGUCGAACGGCAGCACGUGUAGCAAUACAUGGUGGCGAGUGGCGCACGGGUGCGUAACACGUAUGUAACCUACCUCUAACAGUGGCAUAACAAUGAGAAAUUAUUGCUAAUUCCGCAUGUGGUUAAUUUGAGGCAUCUUAGAUUAACUAAAGAUUUAUCGGUUAGAGCUGGGCAUGCGUCCCAUUAGCUAGUUGGUGAGGUAACGGCUCACCAAGGCAUCGAUGGGUAGGGGCUCUGAGAGGAUUGUCCCCCACACUGGUACUGAGACACGGACCAGACUCCUACGGGAGGCAGCAGUAAGGAAUAUUGGGCAAUGGACGCAAGUCUGACCCAGCCAUGCCGCGUGAAGGAAGACGGCCCUAUGGGUUGUAAACUUCUUUUCUCAGGGGGUAAACUUCGGAACGAGUUCCGGACUGAAAGUACCUGAGGAAUAAGCAUCGGCUAACUCCGUGCCAGCAGCCGCGGUAAUACGGAGGAUGCGAGCGUUAUCCGGAUUCAUUGGGUUUAAAGGGUGCGCAGGCGGAUAUAUAAGUCGGAGGUGAAAUUCUGAUGCUCAACAUCAGCCGUGCCUUCGAUACUGUAUAUCUAGAGUCAAGUUGGAGUAGGCGGAAUGUGUUGUGUAGCGGUGAAAUGCUUAGAUAUAACACAGAACACCGAUCGCGAAGGCAGCUUACUAAACUUUGACUGACGCUCAUGCACGAAAGCGUGGGGAUCAAACAGGAUUAGAUACCCUGGUAGUCG
rnacentral:rRNA from 1 species